GGGCCUAUAUUUGUAAUGGUAGCAAGCCUCACUGUCAAUGAGGAAGAGCGAGUUCGAAUCUCGUUAGGUCCA
rnacentral:tRNA from 1 species